rnacentral:lncRNA from 1 species
UGGAACUGGAACAAGAGCAGUGGCGUGGGAAGCCCUUUCCCUGGCGUGGGGAGAUGCUUGAGCUGCACACCGAGCAUCAUCCUGCCUGACAGGGACACAGGAGCAGAGAUCAGCUGCAGGUAACCACACCUGGGUGAGGCCCCAUCGCCGCCCGGCCUGGACUCAGCUUUGUCACAGGUGUGCGCUGGCACGGACACCCCACAGGUAACGGUGCGCAGCCAGCCCGGCACCGCACCUGCAGCUUGUUUGCACCCUCAUUAGUGACUCAUUUGGCAGGUGGGUAAAGGAGAUAAUCCAGGCUGUGCGAGGGAGGCUGCUGUUUGUUUCAGGGGGGUGGAUUGCCGCCGGGCUGGGGAGCAGCGGCGCCGCAGCGGCGGCGGUUCCGUGCCCGGGGAGGCACCGGGUGGGUCCUGCAGCAUUCCCCGGGCUGGGACCCUGCAGCAUUCCCCGGGCUGGGACCCUGCAGCAUUCCCGGCUGGGACCCUGCCUGCACCGGGACCUGGGGCCGGAGCUGUGCCUGCACCUGGACUCGGCUGCCAGAUAAUGUAAUUCCACGCACUACCCGGGGCUCAGGGGCGCAUCAGCAAAGCGCCUGCGAGCACGGGAUUGACAGGCUGCUGCUCCAAUCCUCUGACAGGCACAGGGAGCCAUGGAAAAGGGAUCCUUUGUUCUUUGGGGGCUGUUGAGUUCCAUCAGUGCCAUCCUCGGAGCCCUGGGCACCGUGUUAAUGCUAAUGCUGUUAGGGAGAUGGAGAGCCGCCAGGAGGGAGCAGUAAUCAGCUCACAGAAUCACUGCACAUAUUCAUGGAGCUUGUUGUGGGGUGAGAUCCCAGAGCCCUGAGCCUUCCUGAGGAGAACAGGAAAAUCCAGCUAACAUCUCCCUGUCACCCUCCUGGGCUGCUUUCACUGCAGACGACCUUGGGCAGCUGUGCUGCAGUUCUGCCAGACUCCAAUGAUGUCUUUAGUUCACCGUGUGUUGGGUUUUGCCCAAACAGAAGGCCUGGCUCUGAGCACACCUCUCACCAUGGGGAGGAGUUGCUGACAGAAGUUCCCUCAGCAGCCUUGGCAUGCUCUGAGCUGAGCUGUGGCACAGAUGGAUUUCAGGACUCGCUCGUCCUUGGGGAUGUCCAACACAACUGGUGAGAAAUCUCCUUUCCUCUCCCUCUCCUGCCAAAGCCCCAGCUCUUGGACCACAGGAUGGUUUAGGAUGGAAGGGACCUCAAAGAUCACCUUGUGGGCAGGGAUGUAACCUGAGGUGGCUUUCCUGGGAAAGGUGGGUGGUGAGCCCUGGCCUGUGGUCAAUCACAUCCUGCAGAUAAAGGAUUUUUGGGGAGAGCAGAGCUGCUCCAUGCCCUCACUGAGCCCUCUGCUCCAGCCCGAGGGCUGUGCCCUGCACCCAAGGGCAGCCCAGCCUGUGCUCUAAUGAAAAUCUGCUCCUCUAGCAAAAAGGUUCCUUGAAAUCAGUUUGAAUCAAUCCUAGAAAAGCUCUAAUUAUAAGCAAAAUUUAGCCUGACGGGACAAAAAUAAAAAGUACUUUAAUCGGGGCA